GGGGACUUAGGUUAUUCAGACCAAGAGCCUUCAAAGCUCUAAGUAGAAGCCUUCCUUCUAGCCCCUG
rnacentral:tRNA from 1 species